UACGAAGGGUGCAAGCGUUAUUCGGAGUUACUGGGCGUAAAGAGCGUGUAGGCGGCAUGUUAAGUCUAUUGUUAAAUUACCCAGCCUAACUGGGUGUCUGCAAUGGAAACUGGCAAGCUAGAGUGUAAGAGAGAGAGGUGGAAUUCUCGGAGUAGCGGUAAAAUGCGUAGAUCUCGAGAGGAACACCGGUGGCGAAGGCGGCCUUUUGGCUUACAACUGACGCUAAAGCGCGAAAGCGUGGGGAGCAAAC
rnacentral:rRNA from 1 species